rnacentral:hammerhead_ribozyme from 1 species
AUCCAACUGACGAGUCCCAAAUAGGAUGAGACGCGCAUCCUGGAU